GGGGUGGUAACAGCAAGGCUUUUUCCCUCUGCAAAUGUAUGUGACUUUGCUGAAUUAAUGAAAACAUGGAAGAGGAGAACCAGCAGUAGACAAAGCUGUAUUUUGGGGUUUGAGCAGGCGGGAAUGGCUUUCAUUUUAAAAAGUAUUUGAGGACCUCUGCUUCUUUUGAAUAGUUAAACAAGUACAGCACAAGUCAUUCUGAAGAACUGAGAAGACAGAUGUUCCAAGUCAAAAUUUAAUAAGAGGUGUCUUCAAGGAAAACCUCUGUAACGGGCAUUGAAGGUUUCAGAAAGAAGAGGGAAUCAUGCAGCUCAAAUCUUCACCCAUGAGGAAUAUAUGGUUGAUUUCUCCCUUCUCAUCUUAGGAGCUUCUUGAG